rnacentral:rRNA from 1 species
AACAAACGCUGGCGGCGUGCCUAACACAUGCAAGUCGUACGAGAAAGUUCGCUUCGGCGGAUGAGUAAAGUGGCGCACGGGUGAGUAACGCGUGGAUAAUCUGCCCUUUAGUUGGGAAUAACUCAUCGAAAGGUGGGCUAAUACCGAAUAACGCUACGCAAUGCAAGUUGCAUAGCCAAAGAAAGCCUCUGCUUGCAAGCUUUUGCUGAAGGAUGAGUCCGCGUACCAUUAGCUAGUUGGUAGGGCAAUGGCCUACCAAGGCGACGAUGGUUAGCUGGUCUGAGAGGAUGAUCAGCCACACUGGAACUGAGACACGGUCCAGACUCCUACGGGAGGUAGCAGUGAGGAAUCUUGCGCAAUGGGGGAAACCCUGACGCAGCAACGCCGCGUGAGUGAGGAAGGUCUUCGGAUCGUAAAGCUCUGUCAGGUGGGAAGAAACGCGGAGAGGUUAAUAGCCUUUUCGCCUGACGGUACCACCAGAGGAAGCACCGGCUAACUCCGUGCCAGCAGCCGCCGUAAGAC